GACGAACCGAGCGAACGUUGUUCGGAAUCAUUGGGCGUAAAGAGCGCGUAGGCGGCCCAGUAAGUCCGCUCUGAAAGUCAGAGGCUCAACCUCUGGAUGCGGGUGGAUACUGCUGGGCUAGAGUCCGGAAGAGGCGAGUGGAAUUCCUGGUGUAGCGGUGAAAUGCGCAGAUAUCAGGAAGAACACCCGUGGCGAAGGCGGCUCUCUGGGACGGUACUGACGCUGAGGAGCGAAAGCGUGGGAGCAAACAGG
rnacentral:rRNA from 1 species